CGGUCUGUCACAACCGCGACAUCCUCCGCAGCUAUGCUGCUGUCAACGGCAUCUGCACCGACGACCACCCCUCCCAGUAUGCUCAGCAGCUCCUGGCGUCCCUCCCUCCCCGAGUGAACGCUUCCUGUCUGUGGGGGGAUUUGUCUUCAACUGUUGAUCGUUGCGUGGAACUGAUAGCGUGGAGAGCAGCCUUUGGCUACAACAGUACCAUGACGGAGGCUGACAUUUAUCAGCAUCACCAGACGUAGGUAUUGUUUGUAAAAUAACUAACACAGUGUGGUGGCGAUAGUCGAGUUGUGUAAAAAGAGUUAUGAAUCUUGUUCAAUAUGGGUGAAUAGGGUUUAGCAUAAGUUUUCAGGUGCCUUUUAUUUAAGUCGUUUCACGGAGGGUGUAACAUACUCGUGUCUUCAGUUGUGGGGAAUCGAACCCGAACCUUCGGUAUGACGAACGAACACUUUAACCUCUGGACUAUCCCACAGUCCGCGAUUCGGUUUCUAAAUUACUGUGCUGACAGUUGACCCAGUGCUACUUUUCGCUAUCAUAGAUAAGGUUUCCUUAUUCGCACGUUUUGUACAUUAAAAUGAUGCUGGAUGGACGUCGUUUUUCAAAACGUGUAUUAUUCACAAUACAUACUGUAACAAAAUAUAGAUUCGUCAGGAAGAUAGCUCGAUGAACAUGGGUGCCCGAUGCGCGUACUCCAUGUCGGAGCGCAGACUGGCCCGAGGCGUGAUGGGGGAGGGUGGAGUGGAGGGGAUGAAGGCUGCCAUACUCUUGUCUUGUCUUGCCACACGCUCCGCCGGGAUUCAUUUAUGACCUCUCCUACAUAACCAAUGUCACUGACGCUCAUUAGACGUCACGUACAGAUUUAAUGUCAUUGACGCUCAUUAGACGUCAUGUACAAAUUUAAUGUCACUGACACUCAUUAGCCGUCACACGUCACGUACAGAAUCAUUGUCACUCACCCACAUACAUUAUCACCGACAUAACUGACGUCACUGACAAACGGUGUCCACGAAGCUCGCCUACAGGUGGGACCAGUGCCGCCAGAGGAACUGCUUCUUGUUUACGGAUUAGCUGUAAUUGUGGACGCAAUAAACAAUAUGUUAUGAAUGGUGCCAAA
rnacentral:lncRNA from 1 species